CUGUAGAAUCGUUAGAAAUUAUAUUAUUUUAUAUUAUAGAAGUUAUAUUACCAAUAUAAAAAAAAUUGAAUCGAGCAAUUUUGCUUUGCGGUAGGGUCGGGAGCAGGGUAGAACCAUCAAAAUUGACUGUGAUCAAGGAGACCCAUCUCUGAAAAGAAGAACAAAAAAACAUAUUUAGAUGACAUUAAUAAUAGGAUUUUACAGGGCAAGUUUGCCUUAAGAAACAUAUCGACACAAUAUUGGCCCGAGAGCUUAUACCGGUAUCGUCUUAACCUUUUACUGCAUAUUGCGGAAAAAUGGCUGUUUUCAUUGGGUUAAGCCUCCUGUUACAAGUUCAAACUGCUAUGAAAUUAUAAAAAAAUGCACACACUUAUUCCCAUAUGAAAAUACUGAAUACUAACAUAUACGAUCAUCAUGGAAAUCAGAUCUUCAUCCAUAACAAUACAUAAACUAUAGUCAGAUUGAAAAAAAAAAACAUAAAUAAAUUUUGAUUCAUUUUAAAUUUCAGCACAGGUAAUUUUUAGCAAAGAAAGCUUAGUGUCUUCAUGUGUGAUCAUCUACAGAUUUUUACUGCAAGCUUUAGUUUGCGAGACAGAAAGAAUUAUAUAGCAAGGAAUCAUUUUCUCCUUUUUAGGUCAUGGAUUUACAAUAUAACUUGCAGUGGAAAAUUUUAUAUGUAGGGCAUCUGAAUCAUCAGAUGGCUAUACGUUUUCACUGUCAAAAAAUUACUACGGUAGUUAUGGCAUCGCAGGAAAAGUGUGUCCGACAGAAUGGGAUGACAACGACGCUAAGGGACACGUCUCUGGACUCCGUUUGAACAUUGUCAAGGCAGUGACAAACGACUCGACUUACCGGCUCCACGACGACUAAUUAUGGUCGAUUGAAAAUGUACAAUACGUCAAGUUUCACGUGGUUUGCUGGUUUGUGACAGCAAUAUCAUUGUAAACGAUGUCAUUAUUAUUUGCCGAGAGAUGGGAUUUGUCGACGACAUAUAUCAGCAAGGCUCACUGUUAGGACCGACGGCGACGGAAAUCUCUAUCGUUUCGCUCGCUGUUCCGACACGUCGGAUUGGAUUACUUGAUUUAUAUAUACUUAUGUAGGAAAACACAUUUAAGUGUCAAUGUCACUAGCUAAGAAAUUGAGCAUGUAACAUUGCCUUUACAAAACUGAUAUGAACCAUGUAUCUUGGUUUAAAUAUUGGCCCCGACUCAGGGGUCACUUGAUAUAUUAUAUUGAUAUAUUGAUAUAUUUAUAUAGAGGAUAUUGAAUAAGUGUAGGUUUAAAUUUUUUGAACGAGUUGAAUAAAAACAUAUUGUGCGAGCCUCUGGCGAGCAUAAUAUUGUUUUAUUCAACUCGUUCAAUUAAUUUAGUAUUGAAUCUACACGAAUAUAAUAUUCUAUUUAUCACAUAUAUAAAAUAAGAACGGUAAACUGUUUUCAAGUCUUUGACGCGCCUAUACUGUAACGCGCUAUAUUAGCGCGCUUUAACGCUAUGUUUAUAGUGCAAAUGACGUGACGUCAAAGUGUUAUUACACUAGUGUAAUACUAUCGUCUAGUGUAAUAUCGUUUUUAUUAAAUGGCUAUAUUACACUCCUGCACUGCGGUUUAUGUGAUAAAUAAAGUCUGCACAUGAGGGAUAAUAAAAACAUCAAAAAGAGGGCCGAUAUAAUUCAAUAAUGGUUCACACCAAAUCACCCUUUCCAUCUAAAAUUGUGCAUCACUUCAAAGCCGCGGUUCGAAUGGUUUCGAACUACCUCUUUUUCAGGUUGAAAUUUUAUAUCAGGGGAAAAAGAAAAUUGUGCACUUUGCAAUGCUUCCAAACGUUUAAAAGUUGGUUUCGAAAUAAGGGAACUAGCUUGGAAAAUAUGAAUAGGAAUAGUUUUUGAACGUCUGCCGCCAUUCAACUCAAUGUCAUUUUUGACGUUACAGGUCACGUGAGACGGACCCCUUGCUUUAGGAUAGAUCUAAAUUUUCUUAAACUUAGACUUAGACAUUAAAAUUGUCGGAAGUAUAAAGGCAAUAAAGCUAGGCAUUUUUAAAAAGAGGGAGAUAUUCAUAAAUUUUAAGAAAAAAUGUGAACAUAAUUACAAUUGGAAUGCAAGAAAAUUAAAAGUAAUUACAAUUAUUAAUUGGUAAUUACAUUUCCAAUGUUUCUUAUUAGUGAUCUGCAUCGACCUUAUCAAAGCCUUUAUCACCGUUCCAUUAUUUACACCUUUUGCUGUAAAUAAAACACCAUAAUAUGUAGGGACACCUCCCACUAGUCUCACAGCAGGAUAACACGCGACUCCAGCAAUAUCUCCUAGUUUACCACUGGUUUUCUGAGGGUCCCACGUGGCUUGGCACAUCAAGAUAGAUUCUUCUGAUCAAGUCCGUGGCACCGUAGGAGCCGGACCCCGCAUGGUAAGUCUCGCCACCAGCGUAGUCUGUCGUAUACAGCCGCGUCAGUAUCUGUAAUCGUUACUUGCGAAACAAAUAUUUUCUGGCCAUUUGCAUUGAUUGCCACACCUGUUGUCAUUCGCCCCGAUUCAUCAUCAAGUCAUUCGUUUCAUUGUGACUGAUCAUGUGAAAUCCUUCAUGUGAAAUCAAUUGCACUGUACCUCUGCUCUUGCAUCAGUUCCUUGCGAAAGUGAACAGCUUGACAGCCUGCCAAGGAACUGCCUGCCUAGGUGGCUGAACAGUGCUCUGGUAAAUUCAAUGUGUCUAACUGCAGUGAUCCGGAGUAAAAACUACCAACACUACCAACACCACAACUUAUCUAUCUGUAGAUACUGAGUUUACAAAAGUAAAACAAGACUGUUACUUUUAUUGUACAGGAGAUGAACAACGGUUAACAGACUGCAUGCAUGAUGAUGUUGGUAACGAAGACUGCUCGAGAGACUAUGUUGCCACAGCGUGCAUCACUGGACCUACAGAGUACAAGCUGAGUUUACCGUCAACAGAUACUAGUUCCUAUGCCGGUAAUCUUGUUAUAACAUACAUUGGCAUUGAUGGGAGUAUUUGCUUGGUUGGAUGGGACGAUAACGAUGCUCAUGUUGCUUGUAGAGAAUAAGGAUACCAAACGGGCAUGGCGUACAAUGCCGCAAAGUAACAUGGCAUGGUCGCUGGCAGGUUUCGAGCUUACACCUCGACAAGCGAUGCCAGAAUUCCAAGUCCGACGUUUCAGUCUAGAAUUCACGGGUCUUCCAAUUUAAACUAUCCACGCAAAACAGAUUAAGGCGGCGUGCUUUUUAACAAAGACACCUGGUAUACACUGUGUUGAGAUAAUUUCACGGAAAUUUCGGCGAAGGUUGUGUGUAAAGAACUAGGCUUUAAAGAUGGUUUAAGUGGAUGCUGCUCUCCAUUUGGAGACCUUCGUCUAUAUACUCGUCUCGAAACCUAACAAGGUGCGUUGGUCAAAGUUAUUGACUAGAUAAAUAAGUGUUUGAAGUAAUUUGAAAAAAAUGUUUUUGAACUACAAAUUUGAUCUUUAGUACAAGAUGAAGAUCACAACAUAAAACUGAUAAAUAUUACUUCGGAAAAUGCUGGGAAUUCAAAUAAGGGUUUGUCAAUAUAGGUUUGUCGAACCAAGGUCGGCCCGAAAACUAUUUUUCAAGUGAGCUUAAAAAAUGGCUGUCAUUUCCAAAUAAGGAAGAAUUUCGAGUCCAAAAUUUCUUGGAACCAAGAGUGGGUGUGCCUCCUCAGUUUUGACCCCAAACCAGCUUUUCAAAACAUAAACCCAAAUUUGAGUGGAUGUGUGUUCAAAUUUCAAGACUUUGAGCAGGAACGGUACUAUUUACCUAAUAAACCUGUGUCGCUAUGUUAACUUGAAUAUUUUAUUAACUUGGGGUAUAAGAGGUAUAAUGUUCUUCUGUUACUUCUAGGAACGAUUACUAUAGAAUUUUGGCCUGUAAAAGACAACUUAAUUACAAAGAUUUUCCUUCUAUCCGUAAGUUUCAAAUCGGAUUUGGAUUUCGUUUUUUUUUAUCAAUGCCGGAAAAACCCAUCUGAAACCUUUAAUGCCAGACCACUCAUGCGCUUAUCUUUAUGAAAGAAAGGUUUUAAAAAUUAUUACGCUAAAGUAGUGUUUACGAAGUAUAUGUUAGUGUUCAUACGUGUUGUUCUACAGAAAUUAGAAACUUCGAGGGAGCGAAAGCGAUACCUGUCCAUUUUCACAAACGCGGUUCUAUGAAACACAAUGAAAAGUAGAAGGAUGCUAUGAAUGUACAUUGAUAUAUCAUGGACUUUUGUUCUUCUAUGAAUUUUCAUAGACACAAAGAAUUUUUAAGAAAUACAGCGCUUUCAUUGGAUGACAAAUAAAGCUGGA